rnacentral:rRNA from 1 species
GAGUGAAGAAGGGUUUCGGCUCGUAAAGCUCUGUUGGUAGUGAAGAAAGAUAGAGGUAGUAACUGGCCUUUAUUUGACGGUAAUUACUUAGAAAGUCACGGCUAACUACGUCGCC